GAUGAACGCUGGCGGCGUGCCUAAUACAUGCAAGUCGAGCGAACAGACGAGGAGCUUGCUCCUCUGACGUUAGCGGCGGACGGGUGAGUAACACGUGGAUAACCUACCUAUAAGACUGGGAUAACUUCGGGAAACCGGAGCUAAUACCGGAUAAUAUAUUGAACCGCAUGGUUCAAUAGUGAAAGACGGCUUUGCUGUCACUUAUAGAUGGAUCCGCGCCGCAUUAGCUAGUUGGUAAGGUAACGGCUUACCAAGGCGACGAUGCGUAGCCGACCUGAGAGGGUGAUCGGCCACACUGGAACUGAGACACGGUCCAGACUCCUACGGGAGGCAGCAGUAGGGAAUCUUCCGCAAUGGGCGAAAGCUUGACGGAGCAACGCCGCGUGAGUGAUGAAGGUCUUCGGAUCGUAAAACUCUGUUAUUAGGGAAGAACAAAUGUGUAAGUAACUAUGCACGUCUUGACGGUACCUAAUCAGAAAGCCACGGCUAACUACGUG
rnacentral:rRNA from 1 species